rnacentral:rRNA from 1 species
CAGUCGCCCGGGAAUACCAGCAGCCCAAGUGGUGGUCGCGAUUAUUGGGCCUAAAGCGCUCGUAGCCGGGCCGGUAAGUCCCUUGUGAAAUCGGACGGCCUAACCGUUCGGCGUGCAAGGGAUACUGUCGGUCUUGAGGCCGGGAGACGUCCGAGGUACUCCGGGGGUAGCGGUGAAAUGUUCUGAUCCUCGGGGGACCACCGGUGGCGAAGGCGUUCGACGAGAACGGGCCUGACGGUGAGGGGCGAAGGCUAGGGGAGCAAACGGGAUUAGAUACCCCCGUAGUCCCUGUCUCUUAUAC